AACGGCCACACCAUGCUGAAUAUACCGGUUCUCGUUAGAUCACCGAAGUCAAGCAUCAUUGGGCGCGGUCAGUACUUGGGUGGGUGACCACCUGGGAACACCGCGUGCCGUUG
rnacentral:rRNA from 1 species